rnacentral:rRNA from 1 species
UACGGAGGGUGCGAGCGUUGUCCGGAAUCAUUGGGCGUAAAGGGCGCGUAGGUGGCCCGGUCAGUCAGUGGUGAAAGCGCGGGGCUCAACUCCGCGUCGGCCAUUGAUACUGCUGGGCUGGAGCACUGUAGAGGCAGGCGGAAUUCCGGGUGUAGCGGUGAAAUGCGCAGAUAUCAGGAGGAACACCGAUGGCGAAGGCAGGUCUCUGGGCAUUAACUGACGCUGAGGAGCGAAAGCAUGGGGAGCGAACAGG